CCAGGAGUGAUCCUUGUUUCCAUGUAUCUCUUCACUUGAUCAAUUACUCUAUUCAUAGCAGCUAAACUAGUACAAGUAAUUGAAAUGGCAUUCACAAGCCAGCAGCAAUGCCUUUGUUUGGCCCUGAUCCUAUUAGGAGCUUGGAUUCCACAAGCCUUGUCGUCUCGUGCGCUGCAAGAUGCAGCUAUGUACGAGAGGUACGAGCAAUGGACGGCUCGCUACGGACGCGUGUACAGGGACAACGUUGAGAAGGAGAAGCGGUUCACCAUUUUCAAACGAAACGUUGCACAUAUUGAAGCUUUCAACAAGGCUAGUAAGAAACCUUACAAGCUAGCCGUCAAUGAAUUUGCUGAUCUUACUAAUGAAGAGUUCAAAGUCUCACGAAACAGAUUCAAGGGCCACAUGUGUUCCGAACAAACAGGUCCAUUCAAGUACGAAAAUGUUACUGCGGUGCCUUCCACCAUGGACUGGCGGAAGAAAGGCGCUGUCACACCCGUCAAGGAUCAAGGACAAUGCGGUCAGUUUUUUCAUUUUGUCUAUUGGAGUUCGUUUUCUUUAGCUGCGUCCGAGUAACAAGGACGAGCAUAUUAUAUACUUAUAUAACACUUUGCAUAAUGAUAUAUAUAAAUGUGUGUAUAUAGGAUGCUGCUGGGCAUUUUCGGCAGUGGCAGCUAUCGAAGGAAUUAAUCAGCUAACAACUGGAAAAUUAGCCUCUCUGUCGGAGCAAGAGUUGGUGGAUUGUGACGUCAAGGGUGAAGAUGAAGGAUGCAACGGUGGUUUGAUGGACAAUGCAUUCCAAUUCGUUCAAAAGAACAAGGGGAUAACAACUGAAACAAACUAUCCUUACAAGGGAGUUGAUGGAAAAUGCAACGCUAAAGAGGAAGCAAAUCAUGCGGCCAAGAUUAAUGGACACGAGGAUGUGCCGGCCAACAGUGAGACAGCACUGAUGAAGGCUGUUGCUAAUCAACCGGUUUCGGUUGCAAUUGAUGCCGGAGGCUCUGAUUUCCAGUUCUACUCCAGCGGCGUGUUUACCGGAGACUGUGGCACUGAAUUGGACCAUGGUGUCACUGCUGUUGGUUAUGGAGCUGCUGAUGAUGGGACCAAGUAUUGGCUGGUGAAAAAUUCAUGGGGCACAAGCUGGGGAGAGGAAGGAUACAUAAGGAUGCAAAGGGAUAUUGAUGCCAAGGAAGGCCUCUGUGGAAUUGCCAUGCAAGCCUCUUACCCCACUGCAUAAAUAUCAAAAUAUCGAGGCAAAUAAUUAAUUAUGCCUUCUAUUUCACUUCAGUGUGUAAAAAUAUUGUGUAUGCUUUUGUAUUAUUACAACUGGAGAAAUUCGUCUAGCUGAUUGCUGACAUGAGUUCGUAAAACUAUGUAUAAUUAAGUGAUUGUUUAUAAUAUGUAUGAUGACAUUUUCGUUCUCAAUUACUAUCAGCAAUCGCCAUAGAACCAUCUUUGUUCACUUAUACCAAUUAUAACACCAUCGGCAGUAUUUGUGUUUUUUUUUUUUUUAAAAAAAUAGAGUGCCAAGAGGUUCAGGAGCUUGUAACUCUUCUAGCCAAUAAUAGGAAUGUAAUAUUGGGCAGCAUAAUUAAAACAUAGCAGCGUGAUUUUUUUUCUUCUUUUUGGGUAAUAUAAUGCAUUUGAUCAAACACUUAUAUUGAGCUUUCUCCAAAUCAUUAUAACUCAGGAAACCAGAUGUUCUCAACUUCUCGUCAUGUCACCAAAAGAGGCGACAGCCAUGUCUUUCAAAAACGUACUCUUACAAUAUUCUUAUCAGGUCCUCAGAAUUAUCGCUCCAUAAAAGCCUCACUAUCAGAAUAAAAACAGAGCAAUAGGUGAGAUUUCUAGAUCCUAAAAGAAAUCUAAAUUAUUUGUCACAAAAAUCACCGCUAAUUAGCAGAGCAAUGGAGAUAUUCAAGAGUAAUUUUAUUGUAUUGCACCGACUUAGUAUAUGUGUGACAUAUUUGUAUUUAUUUUAAAAAAUUAUUAUGUAAUUGAUAAUUAUAUUUAAUUUAUAUCCGCAUGUCAUAUGUGAUGAAAUAAAAUAAAUAUAUUCUAAAAUAUCUCAUACAAUAAAUCACAUGGCAUAAAAGUAUUAUUAAUAAUAAUUGAUAUCCCUGUAUAAGUCCGUGCGAACACAUGCCUUUUACAGCUUGGUAAAGGAAUAAAUUUCGUGCGGGUUCAUUUUGCAACUUUCAACUCGUCACAGGAACAUCAUCAGCUGAAAUGUGUCGGCGAAAAAAAAAAAAAAGAAAAUUAAGAAAUGAGAGAGAAAAUUUCUUCAGAGAGAUAAUAAAAUAGCUUCUUAACGUGGAGCUUAAAACAAGGUAAGAUGGAUUUAUAAAUGCAGCUAAAUUAAUGUUAAGUGCAAACAUCAACUAGAAACUCCGAAACAAAGAGAGUAGUAAGCCAUAGAACAAAGGAAGAAAAGGUUGCCAGUUAGACACCGCCGCCAGACCGGCAUCCAGCUGAGGCAAAGGGAGCAUUCGACUUAUAAGGAGAUUUGCACCAACGUCGAGCAGAUCGUUAGGGUUUCGGCGAUUUGGCUAUUCGGCUGUUUGAAAUAUCAGUACACUCGGUCCGUUUAUCAUUUUCCCUUUUUCAAAUUAACAAAGUAAAUUGGACCAGGUGUAUUUUUAUUUUCCUUAACUUUCUUUUAAAUUUUUUAUAAGAUUAACGAAUAAAAUUAUGUCAUGUUUACUAAAUAUUAUAUUAUACUUUCAUUGAUUAGUUAUAUAUAGAUCUACAUAAUUAAUUAUAGGACCAUAAUUAGUACAAACAAGCAGUCAUAAACUCAUAAAUAUAGAUGUUUUACCCACCUCAGAUUAUUUUUUCGGUCAAAUCCAUUUUAAAUUUGAUAAGUGUAUUGCUUCUCAAGUAUGAAUUGGCAUAUGUCAUAUAGAUUUGCGUAUUGUUGAUUGGAGAUUUUAAAUAGAUAUUCGAGAGAACUGAUUUUGGAAUUAUAUUUUUUGGGGUAACUACAUUGUGUAGUAUCCAACAAAUUAUUUAUGAAUGACUAAAGAAAUAUGAUCUUGCUACUUAUGAUUGUCACGAAUUAAAUUAUAAUCAUAUUGCUUUAGGUCAUUUACCAGUGUCAGUAAUUAAUGAUUUUACAAUUUGAACAAUCUUGAAUUCACCUCAAGAAAAUGACAAUACACCUUGUCCAAUUUACUUUGUUAAUUGAAAAAAAAAAAGUUAAAGAAAGCUGACGAAAAUAACGAUACACCUGGUGUAAUUUACUUUGGUAAUUUAAUUUGUCAGCUUUAGGUGAUUUACCAAAUGUCAGUGAAUCUUUUUAAUUUUGAAUUAUUAAGAUUUAGUUUAAUAUAUAUGGUAUAAAGGGGUAAGGUUGCUUUUUGGCUUGGUCAAUAACUUCAAACCCAACUUUUAAUUGGUUGAUGAGAAGCACAACUUAAUUUAUAUUAAACUAAAAUGAUAUAUAGAUAGAAGCUUUUUCGAACUAGAUAGCCUCAAUUUCAAAUUGUCAUAUAGAAUAACGAAAAACAAAAUUGAUCCUAGAAUUGUACCCACAUCCAUUUUAAGAUAUUGCGGGGAAAAAAAAAAACAGUGCAAGAAGUCCUCCUUUGUAAAGUUUUUCAUUACUAUAUUUUAAAAAAAUAUAUAUUUUACUGCAUUUUCAUUAACCCUGUUACUAAAAUGAUGACAUCAUAUUGACAUUACUAGGAAAAGAAUGACUUUUACUAAAUUUUUUCCCAACAUUUUAUAUUUAUAAUAAAAUUUGAAGGACAAAUUAUCCUCUAAAUCACAAAUUUUAAUUUAUUAAUUUUUUAACUAAUUAGAAAUCAUUUAUUUGUGCUGUUUUACUAUUUUGCAAUGCUGAAAGUAAUGAAAUAAUAAUAACCAAGAUAACAAUAAUAAUAAAGUAAUAAUAGUAAAAUAACUCAACAAUGCCCUUCAGUCGAAGCCAUUGCUAGAUCCAUGUCCUUUCGUCCGACAGAUAUGAGUUUGUUCCACCACCACAUUGCAGUAAUACCAAUAAAGUUGUGGUUGCCAAGGAUGACGACUGAAAAUUUUAUUACGUGAAAAAAUUUAUUACAAAACCCUAAUAAUACCCAAGGCUCUCAGUACACUUGUUGUUUCUCUCACAUUGAAAUUAUUUACUUGUAGAGAAAACUGAGUGAUUACCGAGUGAACCCAACCUCUUUAUAUAUAGUAAUUAUUUCUUGUUCAAGUAUUAUUUCUUUCUAUAUUGAAUUCUUCCUUGAAUAAGUUAAGUCCUAAAAAAAUUAGUUAUUCCUUAGAUAAAAAUCCUUUUAAAUAAGAAAACCACUAAAUAAGAAAAACCUAGGAAAUAUUAUAAUUUAGGAUUUACAAAUCCUUAUUGAAGAGACAUAUUUCCUAACAAUCCUCACCUUUGCGAGUUUUUUUAAUAACAUGAUAAAAUAUGACCCACCAUUUAUGCAUAUAACCAUGUUGUCCCCACCAUCUUUACUUCACCAAAACCACACUUGCAUAGGGCUUAUAAGAAUCACUCCACUGUGGAUGAAAUCUUAUACUUUAUCCAGCAACUAUAAUUCUUUAUAUAAAGAAUUAUCAUACUCCAUCGUAGAGCUGGCAAAACGGGUCAUCGGGUCGUGUUCGUGUCGUGUCAGCUUCGUGUCGUGUCAAAUUUAGGCCUACCCAAACCCGACCCAUUUAAUAAUCGUGUCAAAAUAUUGAGACCCAAACCCGACACGGAAAAAUAAUCGGGUUACCCAAUAACCCGUUUAAUAUCUAUAUAUUGAAUAAAAGUUACAUCAAAUAUUUACACACUAUCAUACAUAUAUAUGUACAUAAAUACAUACAUACAUACAUACAUACAUACAUACAUACAUACAUACAUACAUAAUUUAUCGAUAUUAUAAAAUAUACAUAUCUACCAAUAUAUUACACAUUUACACUAUUGAGGUUUUAAUUAUAUAUAUAUAUAUAUAUAUAUAUAAUAUUAUAUAUAAAAUAUUAUAUAUCAAUAUUAUAAAAUAUACAUAUCUAUUAAUUUUUACACAUUUACACUAUUGAAGCUCUAAAUAUAUGUAAAAUUUUAUAAAUAAAACAUUGUGUUUAUAUUCACCCUUUUAAAGAAUAAAAAAAAAGAAAAUCAUCUCUAAUAUUUGAGUUUUAAUUAUAAGAAUAUGUAAAUUAUUUUAAAAUAGAAAAUAUAAUCGGGUCAUUGAUCGGGUAAAUGGGUCAAGAAUUUUAACCCAAACCCGACACGGAAAAAAAUCGUGUUGACCCGGACCCGACCCAUUUAAUAAUCGUGUUAAAUUUGACGACCCAUACCCAUUUAUUUAUGUCGUGUUCGUGUCGGAUAAUCGGGUCGUGUCAAAUUUUGCCAGCUCUACUCCAUCGUACGCAGAGUGCAUAUAUUCAAUACAUGUCGAUCACAUUGCUGAAAAUACCCAUUCUCAUGUUUGGCUUCCUUAAGAGUUCUCAACCAUCAACAUAAAAAUUCCUCCAUACAUUUUGCAUAAAUGCCCAACUAUGCCUUAAGUGUAAACCUUGUAGACUCGCUAUUAGUUACACAUCCUCUUCCAUAGCACACCAAAAACAAUAGACUAGUCUCUCAUGGAGAAAAGUGCCAUAUAGCUAGCUGACACUAUUAGUAUUUGUAUCAACUAAUUUAGAGCUACUUGCUGAACCUGCUCUAUUCCAACAAUCUUCUUUAAAUUGUCUUGAUUGUCUAUACAGCUUUAGGUGUUUUGAGAUUUACAUUACCCUUGAUUUUCUUAUAAAACAUAUAUUGGAUCAGUAUAUAUAUCUUGACUUCAAUCUACCUCAAGCCAAAAUUUAUUAUCCCAUCAAACUUUUCUAGUUCUACUUCACAUGUUUUGAAAACUUCAGGCCAAAACUCAUUCUUCUAAACUUUUCUAUUUUUUACUUCAUAGGCUUUGAAAAUUUCAAGCCAAAAUUUUAUUCUCCCAUCAAACUUUUCUAUUUUACUCUCAUUAGGCCAUCCAAGAUCUCCUCCAUCGUGAUUGGCUGAUCAAAGUGGACCAUAUCUAUCGGGAAGGCAAUGCAGCAUCAGAUUUCCUUGCUUCAUACAUCUUUUCGUUUCCUUUGGGUUUACAAUGCUUUCAAUAUAUUCCUCCAAAUAUGCUUAGCAUAUUAAAUAAUGAUGUUUAUGGGGUUGCACACUCCCGCUUAGUGUUGCCUUAGCUCUCUUAAGAGCCCUUUUAUGAUUAAAAAAAGAAGAAAAGAAAAUACAUAUAUUUGAAUAUUAACUGUAUGUUCUUAAAAAAAAUGAAAAGUAUAUGUUCUUAUAAAUACACACUUGACACGAUAUCUAUAAACAUCAGCACUUUGAUCCAAAAUUCUAUAUAUACACAUGCCCUAAUAAUUUAAUCGAACGACCGCAAAUGUGCAAAUGAAGCGCAAUAAAGUGAUAAACAAAGGCAUAAAAAAAAAAUUAUAAAUUAAACAUACUGUUACUUGAAAUAUAUGGAUCAUAUUAAUCUAUAUAUAAAAUGUAAUAUAUGUCGGAACCUAAGCUAACUUCUUACCGAUGGAUUCAGGCCCAGCUCAUUUGUUGGCCCUGGGCCCCUGGCUGAGUUUGGCAAAACAAAAACGGCAUCAGAUUCAAUUUUAUUUUAUUUUUUAAAUACCGUUGAAAAUGUUUUCAAAAAGCAAAAACUAAUCCAAUCUCAAGAUGUCUGUCUUUUCGGGCCUAAAUGUAGACGUACGUUUCAGCAAUUGUGAAUAUGUAAUUUAUUCUUCAGCUACUCAACGUCUCAAUCAUCUAUAUAUUGCUCAAACUUGCAUCCAAUUCUUAUGUCAAACCUUCAACACAAAGAAUGUAACGGUACGGCAAGAGCUUGCAUAACGGUUUGUACGUCUUGUUGGUUCAACUCAGUUAAUUUUAUGGGUCAAAAUCAGAAUAUCCUCUCAGCCACGCUGAUAAUCGAAGCUUUCAUUUGAUACUAAUAAUCACAAUCUUCAAUGGGGCCUAAGAACUUGCCUAUAAAUCCCAGGAGUGAUCCUUGUUUCCAUGUAUCUCUUCACUUGAUCAAUUACUCUAUUCACAGCAGCUAAACUAAUACUAGUAAUUGAAAUGGCAUUCACAAGCCAGCAGCAAUGCCUUUGUUUGGCCCUGAUCUUAUUAGGAGCUUGGAUUCCACAAGCCAUGUCGUCUCGUACGCUGCAAGAUGCAGCUAUGUACGAGAGGUACGAGCAAUGGACGGCUCGCUACGGACGCGUGUACAGGGACAACGUUGAGAAGGAGAAGCGGUUCACCAUUUUCAAACAAAACGUUGCACAUAUUGAAGCUUUCAACAAGGCUAGUAAGAAACCUUACAAGCUAGCCGUCAAUGAAUUUGCUGAUCUUACUAAUGAAGAGUUCAAAGUCUCACGAAACAGAUUCAAGGGCCACAUGUGUUCCGAACAAACAGGUCCAUUCAAGUACGAAAAUGUUACUGCGGUGCCUUCCACCAUGGACUGGCGGAAGAAAGGCGCUGUCACACCCGUCAAGGAUCAAGGACAAUGCGG
rnacentral:lncRNA from 1 species